AACGAACGCUGGCGGCAUGCCUAACACAUGCAAGUCGAACGAGACCUUCGGGUCUAGUGGCGCACGGGUGCGUAACGCGUGGGAACCUGCCCUUAGGUUCGGAAUAACUCUUCGAAAGGGGUGCUAAUACCGGAUAAUGUCUUCGGACCAAAGAUUUAUCGCCCUUGGAUGGGCCCGCGUUGGAUUAGCUAGUUGGUAGGGUAAAAGCCUACCAAGGCGACGAUCCAUAGCUGGUCUGAGAGGAUGAUCAGCCACACUGGGACUGAGACACGGCCCAGACUCCUACGGGAGGCAGCAGUGGGGAAUAUUGGACAAUGGGCGAAAGCCUGAUCCAGCAAUGCCGCGUGAGUGAUGAAGGCCUUAGGGUUGUAAAGCUCUUUUACCCGGGAUGAUAAUGACAGUACCGGGAGAAUAAGCUCCGGCUAACUCCGUG
rnacentral:rRNA from 1 species